rnacentral:rRNA from 1 species
AGUGAACGCUGGCGGCGUGCUUAACACAUGCAAGUCGAACGGUAAUAGGAACUAGCUUGCUAGUUUGCUGACGAGUGGCGCACGGGUGAGUAAUAUAUAGUUAAUGUACCCCAAAGACUGGGAUAGCCACUGGAAACGGUGAUUAAUACUAGAUACACCUCUUUAAUAUAAGUUAGAGAGGGAAAUGUCUUUUCGCUUUGGGAUCAGACUAUAUCCUAUCAGUUAGUUGGUGAGGUAAUGGCUCACCAAGGCAAUGACGGGUAGCGGUUCUGAGAGGAUGAUCCGCCACACUGGUACUGAGACACGGACCAGACUCCUACGGGAGGCAGCAGUGAGGAAUAUUGCACAAUGGGGGGAACCCUGAUGCAGCAACGCCGCGUGGAGGAUGACGCAUUUCGGUGUGUAAACUCCUUUUAUAUGUCAAGAAAAUGACGGUAGCAUAUGAAUAAGCACCGGCUAACUCCGUGCCAGCAGCCGCGGUAAAGUA